rnacentral:rRNA from 1 species
AGAUGAGACGCUGGCGGCGUGCCUAUACAUGCAAGUCCGAGCGAAUGGAUUAAGAGCUUGCUCUUAUGAAGUUAGCGGCGGACGGGUGAGUAACACGUGGGUAACCUGCCCAUAAAACUGGGAUAACUCCGGGAAACCGGGGCUAAUACCGGAUAACAUUUUGAACCGCAUGGUUCGAAAUUGAAAGGCGGCUUCAGGUGUCACUUAUGGAUGGACCCGCGCCCCUUAGUAGUUGGAGAGCUAACGACCACCAAUGGAACGAUGCGUACCCAACAGGAAAAGGGACCCGGAUUUUGGACUGAAACACGUUUUUAUUCGUAUGGGAGGA